AUUGAACGCUGGCGGCAUGCCUUACACAUGCAAGUCGAAGGGUAACAGGUCUUCGGAUGCUGACGAGUGGCGAACGGGUGAGUAAUACAUCGGAACGUGCCCGAUCGUGGGGGAUAACGGAGCGAAAGCUUUGCUAAUACCGCAUACGAUCUACGGAUGAAAGCAGGGGACCGCAAGGCCUUGCGCGGACGGAGCGGCCGAUGGCAGAUUAGGUAGUUGGUGGGAUAAAAGCUUACCAAGCCGACGAUCUGUAGCUGGUCUGAGAGGACGACCAGCCACACUGGGACUGAGACACGGCCCAGACUCCUACGGGAGGCAGCAGUGGGGAAUUUUGGACAAUGGGCGAAAGCCUGAUCCAGCCAUGCCGCGUGCAGGAUGAAGGCCUUCGGGUUGUAAACUGCUUUUGUACGGAACGAAAAGACUCUUUCUAAUAAAGAGGGUCCAUGACGGUACCGUAAGAAUAAGCACCGGCUAACUACGUG
rnacentral:rRNA from 1 species